GCAAACCAAGGAGACCAACACCAGAAGGCCUGCUAACGCUCCCAUGCCCGCCCAUUCCUUCAGAUGAUUCCUGGCUGCAGCAAUCCAUGAUGAUAAUCCUGUGGCUAGUCCUGCGUCCACUCUGCCCAGAGCCUGUUGAUGCUGCACUGAGUUCAGAAGCUUGUAUUACCCUAAACAUCUGCCCUUUCUACUCUGGUUUCUGAGAUGCUAGGGGACUGCUGGAGAAAGUCAUAUAAAUACUUGGGGUUCCAUGAAAAGAAGACAUGUUGCAUUACAGAAGUGGAAAACAGUUACCUCCAACACAAGUAUUCAAAGAACAUUACUGAAUAAAAGAUUUGAGUUCUUCUUUAGGAUAUGUGCUCUGGUUUUCUAGCAGACGCUUGUGUCUGAAGUUGUUUCCAAUUGUUCUGAUAGUAACACGCAUCUUCCAAAAGCUCCAGGAUUCCUGUUUCAAGGCCUAGUUUUGAGUAUAUCCUCACUGUUUGUUUGUCUGUUUCAAUAGUCAUAUUUUGGGUUUUUUCUGACAUUGGUUUUGGUGAGACAGUUCUGAUGCAUCUCACUAUGUUUAAGUUUCUGGAUAUGAGGAAGCUGAAGUCAAUUCACUUCCAUUCCUGGGAAAUUGAUCGUCUAAGGUACAGACAGCUUUGCUCCUAGGAAAUGACAAUCUUAAGUGAAUCACAGAACCACCACAUUGCCUGAGAAGUACUUAUGUAUGCCUACAAACAGAAGUAAAAAAAUUAAAGAAAAGCCCCUAUUGUUUGCUACAUACAAAAUUUCGUUAUGUAUAAAUGAACUAUAUUGUUUACUAUUCUUUUACACAGCCUACUUUUCCUCCUAUUUAUUUUGUUGUACUGAGGACUAAAUGUAAGGGGCCAUGCUUGCAAAAAAAUUAAAGCACAAACCCAGUACUUGUUUUUCAUUGUAUUUCAGAUGGGAUCAUGUUAAGUCACACAAGCAGGUUUGGCACUUUUCAUUCUUCUGCUGAGUAGGUGGCAUUACAGGCAUUCCACAGCAGACUCAGCUGCUGUUUGGCUUUCCUUAUUCACUAGUUGUUGAGUAACUUUUUGUUGUUUCAGAACAUGAAGAUUUGGCUUACUCUCCUUGACAUUUGUUAGCUUACCCUUUUUUUUUUAAGUGCAAACAUUGAUUUCAAUGUACACUUCUGUUGACAGCACUACAGGAAACAUGUUUGU